GAUGAACGCUAGCUACAGGCUUAACACAUGCAAGUCGAGGGGCAGCAUUAUCGAAGCUUGCUUUGAUAGAUGGCGACCGGCGCACGGGUGCGUAACACGUAUCCAAUCUACCCAUGGCUCAGGGAUAGCCUUUCGAAAGAAAGAUUAAUACCUGAUGGUCUGUGAUUGAGACAUCUCGAACACAGUAAAGAUUUAUCGGCGAUGGAUGAGGAUGCGUCUGAUUAGAUAGUAGGCGGGGUAACGGCCCACCUAGUCGACGAUCAGUAGGGGUUCUGAGAGGAAGGUCCCCCACAUUGGAACUGAGACACGGUCCAAACUCC
rnacentral:rRNA from 1 species